UCAAUUCAACAAGCACAUUGAUGGCGUUAUGAGAUCGCACAAGCUAGAGAUCAGGCAGUAGUAAUACUGGUAGGGGCUAUUGUUCAGGCGGAAGAAAAGAUCAAACUAAUAGAGGCUGAUAUGGAAGCUAGAAUAAGAGAAGCUUCACAAAGAGAGGCUGCUAUUGCAGAGGCGAAGCAACAACUGCUGGCAUAUGUGGAUAUGUUGCAAGCACAAUUAACCAAGUGAUUGGUAAAAUGGGUUCUGUUGGAUUAUGGUUGAUGUUUGGGGAACUUUCUAAAGUUGUUAUAUAUGUGAAGAGCUUCUAAUUUGAUAUUUCAUUUAAUAUUGUAUCUAAGCUUAUCUUUAUCUUUGUUAGGUCCUCUAAAUUGUGCCUAAAGAAGUUUGCUUUAGGCGAAAUACUUCAGAUCUUUCACAUGCUUUUUAACAUGAAGAAAUAGCUUAUACAACCUUAAUUCGGAUGGCAACCAGUUAAGAUUACUCUUGCAGAAAUCGUCCUUGAUUCAGGGGUGGUUGCUGUAACAUAAAAUCUGCAAGAUCUGGUUAUGGACGGAGAAAGAUGGAUUGCAUCAAAUAUGGAGAUCUAAGACACCAUAAUACUUUAGAAAAGAGUCGCAAUUAUUGGAAGUGGACCCUCAGGCCUUGCUGCUGCUGAUCAGUUAAAUAGAUUGGGUCAUAGUGUCAUAGCGCUUGAACGUACUGAUAGGAUUGGUGGUCUGAUGAUGUAUGGUGUGCCCAACAUAAAUUCGAACAAAAUUGAUGUCGUUCAGAGGCGGGUUGACCUUAUGGAGAAGGAAGGGGUGAAAUUUGUAGUCAAUGCUAAUGUCGGAAAUGAUCCUGCGUUCGCCUUGGAUGGCCUCACCACGCAAUUUUUUUGGCUGUUGGAGCCACAAACCCAAGGGACCUUCCCGUUCCUAGAAGAGACCUCUCAGGUGUCUAUUUUGCAAUGGACUUUGUACAUGCAAACAUAAAAAGUUUACUUGAUAGCAAUCUGCAUAAUGAAAAAUACAUUUCUGCCAAGGGCUAGAAGGUGGUUGUUAUCGGUGGAGAUGAUACUAGGACAAAUUGUAUAGGAGCAUCUAUUCUUCAUGGCUCUGCAGUAUAGUUAAUCUAGAGCUUCUCCUUCAGUAACCAAAUACUAGGGCUCCUGGAAAUCCUUGGUCACAGUUGGUUUGUGGCAAAAAUAAUUUCAUGAUAAGGGUUAGACUUUGUAGAAUGUGGGAUGUUAUUAAUCACAAGAAAAAUGAUGUGGUUGGUUGUUUAUAUGAAAUUGGUGAGAUAGAGAAUUGUGGAUCAAAAGGCAAAAGAAGGGAGAUUAAAAUUAUUACUGAUUAUUUUGAGAAAGUUAAAAUUACAAGAGCUUGGUGAAAAACUUGCUCCUUCCUUGUACAAUAAGGAUGUUGGCCCGUACAUAGUGAUAGUCACAUCUACAACCGUGAAAGAAUUUUACGAUGAAGUUAAAUUCUUCACCACUCAUGCAAGCAAAAUAUAUGUAAAUCUUGAUGUACAUUACGUAAGAUCAUUGGUUGAAAAGCUUACAACCAUGUCUACGGCAGUACAAAUUAUCGAAAGGCCUAGUAUUAAUAACAUUUCGAUUGAGGAAGAGAUGAUUUUGGAUCCGAUGGACAUUAAGGAGUCGUUUGAUUCUGAAUGGAGUCCUCAAAUACAGAUAUAAAUAGGUAUCUGCUGAUGUCUCAUUGGGUAACUUGAAAGAUCCUGAGGAAGAACUACACGUCAUCAAUGGUGCUAAAAGCUGGAAAAAAAGACAUGUAAUCAUACAUGACGCAUAAUUAAGUGUUGUAGAUGCAAAUAAAUUUCAGUAGAGAGAUUAUUGUUGCUCCACACCUUUAAUUGAUAUUUGAGCUAACACAAAACUGUUUCAAACUGUUGUCAUUUUUAGUUUGUUUUGGCGAGUAGACGUGUUGAUGAAUAAAUUUAUUUGUUAAUGUCAUUGAACAGAAUCAAUAUGAUGAUAUUCAUACUUGUAUGAUUAUUUUUCGGGUUACGUAAUA